AAACACGGCACGGGGGCGGUAAUGCAACAGAUUCGAUGCGAUCUGCCGCAAAGAAGAAGAAGAAGAAGUCCGAGAGCAGUUCGGCCGUGUAGUUCUCCGCCAUAUGGCAGCAGAGUGGCCGAAAUGCUGUUACCCGUGGCUGCUGUUGUGGCUCUGCAUCCAGGCGUGUGAGUCCGGAAACACUCGACGCUCUCUGGACGAUGACCUCCUCCGGCCGUACGCUCAGGGCCACGGCCCCGCCCACUCUCACCGCCACGUCAGGGACUGUCAGGCCGUCACGUAUGGCAACAGCACGCAUGAGAGCUGGCCCUCCAGCCGCCGAGGUGGGCAGCCGGUCGCCGAGUCCAAGGUGUUCGUGACGCAUGUGGAGGAAGGCAACAGAUGGGUUUUGGGUCACAUGACGGUGGUCCACGACCCGCUGGAGACGGUGUCUGUGUUGGAGCCGGGAGGGCCCGGCGGCUGCAGCGCGCAUCGCAGGGCGUCUGUGGAGGAGACGGCUGAAGCUGCCAGCUGCCUUUAUGCCCAGAACGGUGGAUUCUUCAACACAGAGUCAGGAGCGUGUCUGGGAAACGUGGUGAGCAGCGGCACGCUGGUGCAGGACAGCGGCGGGGUGCAAAAUGCCCAGUUUGGGAUCAGGAGGGACGGCAACCUGGUGUUUGGGUAUCUCUCAGAGAAAGACGUUCUGGAUCAGUCCAACCCGUUCGUCCAGCUGGUCAGUGGAGUCGUAUGGCUGCUGAGGAACGGAAAGAUUUACAUCAACCAGAGUUUGGAGGCCGAGUGCAGCGACACCCAGGAGACGGGGACAUUAAAGCAUUUUGUGGACGUGGUGUCGGCCAGAACAGCGGUGGGCCACGAUGAAAACGGAAGACUGUUCCUGUUUCAGAUCGAUGGGCAAACAGGACAAAGAGGCAUGAAUCUCUGGCAGGUGGCCGAGUUCCUGAAGAAAAAUGGAGUCAUCAACGCCAUUAACCUGGAUGGAGGCGGGUCUGCCACCUAUGUGGUUAAUGGCUCUCUGGCCAGCUACCCCUCUGAUCACUGCGCAUCUGACAGCAGGUGGCGCUGCAGCAGAGACGUCUCCACAGUGCUGUGCGUUCAUCAGCGGCGGUGCCGUCCGGCGAACUGCAGCGAACACGGCGAAUGCGUGGACGGACGCUGCCGGUGCCACCAGGGUUGGCAGGGUCCCGCCUGCGACUCCCUGGUGUGUCAGACGACCGCCUGCUCCCCCCACGGCGUCUGCACCGCCGGUGGCUGUGUCUGUGACGCCGGAUGGAGAGGGACCAACUGCAGCGAAGGCUGCCUCCCAGGAUUCUACGGUGACUCCUGCAACCAAACCUGCUCCUGUUCCAACGGCAGCUCCUGUGAUCCGGUGAGCGGACGCUGCCGCUGCCCUCCUGGUUUCCUCGGGGAAAGGUGUGAAAAAGCGUGCCCUUUGGGUUUCUUUGGUGCGUCUUGCGCUCAGGAGUGUCACUGCGACGACUUGUGCCCAUGUGACCCGCAGACAGGAAGCUGUAACGCCACGUUACCAAAGGAGACCAAUUACACCUUACACAGAGCUGGACACUGCCUGGCCAAACAGAUGUUUACAUCCUGGAGACAAAGAGAAGAAGCUCCCAGAGAGCAGCCGUACCUAACAGAGCGAUCAUGGCUGAUCAUCACCCUCGUCCUCACCUCUCUUCUGGUGGCCGUCCUGCUCGUCUCCCUCCGUCGGGCGUGUCGCAGAUCCUCCGCCUCCCACUUCCCUCAGCGGCAGGACUAUUCCUAUGUGCCGCUGCGGGACAUCAACGGAGCCGCAGAAACCGGGAAAUCUGCACCGGGAACCUUAGAACUGGAAGACUCUGACUCCCAGGAGGAGGUUUUUACUCCGUCACACUCGGGGAGGUCAUAGCUGCACGGAGGACCAAGGAUGAGGAGUGAGAGCGCUAUUAUUGCACAAAAACACGCACUUGAUGCUCUGCCUGCUGACGUGAAACGCCACCAAGCACAACACUUUGACUAUAUUCCUCACAUCCAGAAGCUUUUGGCAGCUUUUCUGAAGUUUGCUCUGGAUUUUUGCUUCGCCUCCAGAUGAACAGAAAGGGAUAAAAGCGGGAUCUUUGCCUCUAAUCUCUGGGGUCUUUGUCAGCUCAAGCAAUGAUUCACAAAAAGUGUAACAAUUUUGCAAGAAGUUGCUUCUGGAUUUUUGCUGUGUUGGCUGCAGCUGUACUGCCGGGGGUCAGUGUGUCACUCCCGUCCUGGCCCACAUUCCUCUCGGCUCGUUGACCCGACCUGCAGUGCAAAGCUACCGCUCAACCUCGGCUGACUUCUCGUCUCUACAACAACAGUCAGCUGGUGGCGGUGAUAACGGCCAGCUGAGGGGGGGGGGUGCCUCAGAUAUUCUGGAUCCUCUAAAACGACCUUCGCUGCUCUGGUUGACCGCUACUCCUUGAUCCUCAGCAGAAGAGAGAUAUUUUAUAGCUGGGGAAUGGAUUGGGUUUAGGUCAGUCUCUGGGAAACAAACUGUCGUUCUACAUCUUAUUUAAACAAGCUGAGCUCUUGGUUGUGGUGAUUCUUUGACUUUUAUUGUUUUAAGGUGCUUUUUCUGCAUGUUUUCUUGGGUCAUAGUUUGGGUACCAACCCCAGAUUUCAUUCUGAAUCAACUUCAGCCUGUAAUUAAUUUACCAACCAUCGGAAAGCUCCAACAAAGACCCCCCUUAAAUCACGAUGGAGGAUUUCAGGAGGUGGCUGUAAGUGUUUUUUAAGCGCUUCGCCAACCAUCGGCAGCCAAAUAAACUUUCCCGGGCGCCUUUUACGUCGAUAUCCAGCAAAUAUUGCUCUAGGAUGGCCACCGUUAGACAAACAUUUCUCCAGGAUGCCCUGUGACUCAUCUGGUAGCUCAACGCAGAGUUGUUGAUCUCACUAUCAGCUCACGGAGAACAGGGUUGUGCAACCCAGAUUUCAAAUAUUAGCCAUGUUGCAUAAGGAAAGCAGCUCUGUUGUUGUGACGGAUGUAAUGUACUACAGUCAAAGCUUGUUAUGUACGUUUUAUUUCUCAUGACACUGACAGUUAUGUCUUCGCUCAGAACAUUGAUUUACUUGCAUUUCCUGGAGCGCCGGUGACCCUAAGCUCUGUUACAACAUCAUGCAGAACCAAGAAUUUAAUGAUUUUCUUCUUGGGGAGUUGAUGUCGCUGUCUCGAUGAUGAGCUGCGGUCGGUAAAAAUGCAAAAACAUUUUGUGUUUUCUGACACAAUAAUAGAAAGGAAACACUUUGUGUGGAAUGUAAGACUUGGCAGGGAACAGGGAGACCAUAAAAGUACCUGAAUCAUUACCCAGUGUCCUGCGGGCUCCAAACCAUCAAGGGGUUUUAUUUCUCCUGGUCAUUUCUGCUCUUCGCGUUGCGUCUUCACUUUAAGAGCAACUUUUUGAGCUUUUAUCUUAGUUUAUACCUAAAAUCUGAGGAAGUUAGCCAGACUUCAGGGAAAGGUGACUUACUGGGUAGCUGGACGAUGUUCAGGGCCGAGGGUCGGCUCUUUGAUCGUGUCUUAAUACGUUUUUAUGGCUCGCUGGGACAAAAUGUACCAGAACCGGCUGGAGGGACAAACAUGACUAAACAUUGCCCCUAAAGCAAAAAAUACUCCUUAGGUCUGCAAUUUCAAACUUUGUUUAUUGAGCGUAUGAAUGUAUUAAAAAGAUGGUUUGAAUCCAAAUUAUUGAGGAUGGUGGUGAUGCAACACACUGGAGCCCAAACAUCCCCAGAGGAAAGGAGCAACAAGGCACAUCUUAUCAGCGUUCUGGUGUUAGAACGGGACAGGUGUGGAAACAUGACGGAUAACUAGCUUUCCACCGUCCCGCCUCAACCGUUUGGGGUAUUCUAUUUUUCCACACGGAUGUUUUUGCAGCGGUUUCUGUUUUGUUAGCUGGAAAAGUUCCCACCGCUGUUGUACAACAGAGCUUGUGUGUCCCAGUCCCAGUAAUAACACGGCAAAGCAACCUAAGAGCACAACAGCAACACCCAGAAUGCACCAAAGGUGUUCCUGGAAACAGGUUAGACUUUUUACCGACCAGACCAGGGGUGUCCAAACUUCUCGGUACAUGGGCCAAAAUGUUCAACUCAAAAGAACUUGAGGGCCAGAAAAUAAAUAGUUUUUAAAAAAUGCUAUUGUUUUAUCUGUUUGUAAAAAGAUGAUAAUUUGAAAUUAGUCUGGUUUUCUGUAGGAAAUUAAUGUGUAAAUCAUGGUAGAUCCAAAGGUUUUGUUUCUUUGUUGUAUUGAAAGUUGGUCACCCAGUUUGCAAAAUAUUUUGAAUAAUUAUUUAACAAUAAUAAGAUUAACUCUUUUUGUUCUAGCAAUAUAAGAGCAUUUGGGUCAAUUGUUCUUUGCAAACACUUCCUGCAGUCAGCCAAUUUUCAUAAUUGAAUUCAAAGCAGAUUUUAAUGCACCAGAGUCUGCGUUUGAAUAAUCAAAUGUUGUUGGAUAGUUGUGGUCAUAUUUGCUAUGAAAUUAAAGAGAAUGUCAAAAGUGUGUUUAUUAAAAGAUGAAUACUUUGUGUUGUACUGAAUAUUUUCAGUUGUUUUCUCUAAUAAUUUUGCCCUAAUUAAAAACUAAAAUCUUCCAUCUACAUCAGCCACCUGUGCUGGUGGACCAAAUCUUUCUUGGACUAGACUGACCACAACUAAACUCACCUAAAAGUAAAAUAUAGCAUCACAAGGUAAAAAUAAAAACCACAAAAGUUCAAUCUCACAUUUAACUCGUUAAAGAAUGGUCCGUGGUUACAAGAUUACAAUCCAGUAUGUAUGUGUGUGUAUAUAUGUAUAUAGGAAUUUAUAAAUGUGUUAUUUAACUAGAGUAUUGUUUUUCCAAAAC